rnacentral:rRNA from 1 species
UGCAGUCGAGCGAAUGACGAGGAGCUUGCUCCUCUGAUUUAGCGGCGGACGGGUGAGUAACACGUGGGUAAUCUGCCUGUAAGACGGGGAUAACUCCGGGAAACCGGGGCUAAUACCGGAUAAUAAGAAGAAACGCAUGUUUCUUUUUUGAAAGUCGGUUUCGGCUGACACUUACAGAUGAGCCCGCGGCGCAUUAGCUAGUUGGUGAGGUAACGGCUCACCAAGGCGACGAUGCGUAGCCGACCUGAGAGGGUGAUCGGCCACACUGGGACUGAGACACGGCCCAGACUCCUACGGGAGGCAGCAGUAGGGAAUCUUCGGCAAUGGGCGAAAGCCUGACCGAGCAACGCCGCGUGAGCGAUGAAGGCCUUCGGGUCGUAAAGCUCUGUUGUUAGAGAAGAACAAGUACGAGAGUAACUGCUCGUACCUUGACGGUACCUAACCAGAAAGCCACGGCUAACUACGUGCCAGCAGCCGCGGUAAUACGUAGGUGGCAAGCGUUAUCCGGAAUUAUUGGGCGUAAAGCGCGCGCAGGCGGUCUCUUAAGUCUGAUGUGAAAGCCCACGGCUCAACCGUGGAGGGUCAUUGGAAACUGGGAGACUUGAGUGCAGGAGAGAAAAGUGGAAUUCCACGUGUAGCGGUGAAAUGCGUAGAGAUGUGGAGGAACACCAGUGGCGAAGGCGGCUUUUUGGCCUGUAACUGACGCUGAGGCGCGAAAG